rnacentral:sRNA from 1 species
AUGUACCGCUCGUACAUUCUGGUCUCUGUGCGCCGCCCCACACCCGCCUGGCAGCCGUGCGUAACGUUGUUGUUUGCC